rnacentral:rRNA from 1 species
GAUGAACGCUGACAGAAUGCUUAACACAUGCAAGUCGAUUCAACUUACCUUCGGGUAAUGAGGAUGGCGGACGGGUGAGUAACGCGUAAGGAACUUGCCUCUUGGUCUGGGACAACUGUUGGAAACGACAGCUAAUACCGGAUAUUAUGAGAUUCUCGCAUGGGAAACUUAUGAAAGCUAUAUGCGCCAAGAGAGAGCCUUGCGUUCCAUUAGCUAGUUGGUGGGGUAACGGCCCACCAAGGCGACGAUGGAUAGCCGGCCUGAGAGGGUGAACGGCCACAAGGGGACUGAGACACGGCCCUUACUCCUACGGGAGGCAGCAGUGGGGAAUAUUGGACAAUGGGCCACAAGCCUGAUCCAGCAAUUCUGUGUGCACGAUGAAGGUCUUCGGAUUGUAAAGUGCUUUCAGUUGGGAAGAAGAAAGUGACGGUACCAACAGAAGAAGCGACGGCUAAAUACGUGCCAGCAGCCGCGGUAA